rnacentral:rRNA from 1 species
CCUACGGGGGGCAGCAGUGAGGAAUAUUGCGCAAUGGACGAAAGUCUGACGCAGCCAUGCCGCGUGAAGGAUGAAGGCCCUAUGGGUUGUAAACUUCUUUUGUACGGGAAAAAACGCUCCUACGUGUAGGAGCCUGAUGGUACCGUAAGAAUAAGCACCGGCUAACUCCGUGCCAGCAGCCGCGGUAAUACGGAGGGUGCAAGCGUUAUCCGGAUUUAUUGGGUUUAAAGGGUCCGUAGGCGGGCCGAUAAGUCAGUGGUGAAAGCCCAUAGCUCAACUA